rnacentral:tRNA from 3 species
GCGCUUUUAGUUCAGUUCGGUAGAACGUAGGUCUCCAAAACCUGAUGUCGUGGGUUCAAAUCCUACAGAGCGCG